rnacentral:rRNA from 1 species
GAUGAACGCUGGCGGCGUGCCUAAUACAUGCAAGUCGAGCGAACAGACGAGGAGCUUGCUCCUCUGACGUUAGCGGCGGACGGGUGAGUAACACGUGGAUAACCUACCUAUAAGACUGGGAUAACUUCGGGAAACCGGAGCUAAUACCGGAUAAUAUAUUGAGCCGCAUGGUUCAAUAGUGAAAGACGGUUUUGCUGUCACUUAUAGAUGGAUCCGCGCCGCAUUAGCUAGUUGGUAAGGUAACGGCUUACCAAGGCGACGAUGCGUAGCCGACCUGAGAGGGUGAUCGGCCACACUGGAACGGAGACACGGUCCAGACUCCUACGGGAGGCAGCAGUAGGGAAUCUUCCGCAAUGGGCGAAAGCCUGACGGAGCAACGCCGCGUGAGUGAUGAAGGUCUUCGGAUCGUAAAACUCUGUUAUUAGGGAAGAACAAAUGUGUAAGUAACUAUGCACGUCUUGACGGUACCUAAUCAGAAAGCCACGGCUAACUACGUG